AGUGAACGCUGGCGGCGUGCCUAACACAUGCAAGUCGAACGGAAAGACAGUAAGAUUGUGCUCUUACCGGUGGCGGGUGGCGGGCGGGUGACGAAUGCAUCGGAAUCUACUUUUUCGGGGAGGAUAACGUAAGGAAGGUUACGCUAAUACAGCAUAUGAUGUACCGGGGAGAGCAGUGGAUAUUCGGGGCUUGCGCGAUUGAAUUAGCCGGUGCCGGGUUAGCUAGUUGGGGGGGUAAUGGCCCACCAUGGCGAGGAGCCGUAGCCGAUCUGAGAGGAUGAUCGGCCACACUGGAACUGAGACACGGUCCAGACUCCUACGGGAGGCAGCAGUGGGGAAUAUUGGGCAAUGGGCGCAAGCCUGACGCAGCCAUGCCGCGUGGGUGAAGAAGGCCUUCGGGUCGUAAAGCCCUUUUGUUGGGAAAGAACAGCUGUAGGUUAAUACCCCGCGGUUGUGACGGUACCGAAUGAAUAAGCACCGGCUAACUACGUG
rnacentral:rRNA from 1 species